CCCAGGGAGAUGAGCAUGAUCCUUCAGGCAGCAAACGGGAUAUGAUGAGUGGUCAUUACUCGCAAGCGUUGCGAGAUGGGUGUCCGCCGCAAAGCCUGGUUACGACACUUGGGCACUCCCAUUUUUACCAUCUGAUCCCUAUGCGAAAUAGAUCCUAAAUUGUUGUUAGGAGCUAUGAGAUCGCUGUCAGCGUCUAGGGUGGAGUUGGAGGAGCUGGAAACCAUAAGAAUCCUUAGAAUGAGAUAUUAAUUUCUUGGUUAAAAAAAUAUUUAAACCAAAAUAAAUAAAUACGUUAAAAAAUAAUUGUUGAUAUGUGACUGUUUUUCAAUAGCAUUUUGAGAUAUCGAUCAACAACAGGAAGCUGUUAGCUUGAGACAUUAUACCUCUUAAAACAAAACCUUACAGUAUCGCUAAUUCUUUUGUCUGAAAUUCUGUAUAAAGUUGGGAAAAAGCAAAAGCGAAGCUCAAAAUUACCUGAAGGGCACUCAAGCACGCGAGAAAAACGAAUUGUUGCUUAAAGAGUUUGGUAUCGACUACAAUACAUUGCCAGUCAUGUUCCGGCUGGGUUCUUCCGUUUUCCAGACAGAGAACACCUCAAUCUUAGAGAAUGAUGCUUCUUCUGUUAAGAAAAGGGAAGCUAAAAUAAUUACAGAACAUUGUAGUAUAAUUGAGCAGAGCUUCUGGGAAGCACAUCCAAGCUUCUUGGGUUAAAGUCUCUGAGACGUUCCAUAGAUUUUAUGUAGACCUGUCAAUUCGGAGGGUUGGGCCUAUUUGGUCGGGUAAAAUAGAGUUUUAAAAUUUUUGGGUCAUUUUCAGGUUCAAAUCAAUUUACUUGAACUUAAAUGUUAGAAUUAUUUUAUAAAAUAGAAUGAAAAAUGAACUUAUGCCGCAAAGGUUUCUUGUGCCAUUCUUUCACUUCAGGCCUUUUGCCUCUCUUCUUUUAUACUGAAAUGUUAGGUCUUAUAGUUGUUACCUUAACGGGACAAUGCUCAUCAGCAUCUCAAGUCUUCUUCUCUGCAGGUUGCUUCCCUACUUUGCCACUGUUCCAGUCUGGAUAGGCCUGUAUCAAGCUCUUUCAACUGUGACUAAUGAAGUUCUGUUGACAGAAGGUUUCUUUUGGAUCCCUUCUUUGGGUGGACCAACUACAAUUGCUGCUCGACAAAGCGGGUCUGGAAUUUCUUGGCUUAAUUCAUUUGUGAAUAGCCACCGCCAUUAGGUUGGCAUGACACUGCGUCAUACCUUGUUUUACCUGUGCUUCUUGUUGUCGGUCAAUAUGUUUCAGCAGAGCUGAUGAAGCCGCCCCAGACAGAUGAUCCAGCCCAAAAGAACACACUUGAUUGGUUACUUUUCAUUAUCCGUUCUGUCAGGAUUACCGAUUUACUGGUGGGUUCGACUGCUGCAAGAUCCAAUAUUGUUUGAACCAUGUAAUGAAAUCAAACAGUUC